rnacentral:tRNA from 1 species
UGUGACAGAAUAGUGUGAUAAAUUUAAGAUUUA